UCCUCACAAGGGGCGCCAGUCUGCC
rnacentral:misc_RNA from 1 species